rnacentral:lncRNA from 1 species
UUAUCACUUGCAUAUUGAUGCAAAUGUGAAUCUAAACGAGCAAAUAGUGAGUGCCGUAGGUCAAAAGAGACCCAGAGAUGAAAUUAACCAGAAGUACUUGUGGCACCAUAGACUAGGCCAUAUUGGAGAGGACAGGAUAAACAAACUAAAAAAGGAUGGGAUCCUUGGCUCUCUUUGUCCAGAGUCGUAUCUAGCUUGUGAAUCUUACCUUCGAGGAAAGAUAGUUAAGUUAUCCUUUAUAGGACAUAGGGAAA